rnacentral:rRNA from 1 species
CGUAGAUGUCGAUUUGGAGGUUGUGCCCUUGAGGCGUGGCUUCCGAAGCUAACGCGUUAAAUCGACCGCCUGGGGAGUACGGCCGCAAGGUUAAAACUCAAAUGAAUUGACGGGGGCCCGCACAAGCGGUGGAGCAUGUGGUUUAAUUCGAUGCAACGCGAAGAACCUUACCUACUCUUGACAUCCAGCGAAUCCUGUAGAGAUACGGGAGUGCCUUCGGGAACGCUGAGACAGGUGCUGCAUGGCUGUCGUCAGCUCGUGUUGUGAAAUGUUGGGUUAAGUCCCGCAACGAGCGCAACCCUUAUCCUUUGUUGCCAGCGGUUCGGCCGGGAACUCAAAGGAGACUGCCAGUGAUAAACUGGAGGAAGGUGGGGAUGACGUCAAGUCAUCAUGGCCCUUACGAGUAGGGCUACACACGUGCUACAAUGGCGUAUACAAAGAGAAGCGACCUCGCGAGAGCAAGCGGACCUCAUAAAGUACGUCGUAGUCCGGAUUGGAGUCUGCAACUCGACUCCAUGAAGUCGGAAUCGCUAGUAAUCGUGGAUCAGAAUGCCACGGUGAAUACGUUCCCGGGA